AAAUCUGGUCUAUACUUUCUCUAAAUAUGGUUUCACACUUAGUAUUUUUUGUAUACUCUAAUCUUUGGCUGUACACUGGACAUAUGAGGUAAUAUAGUAAUUUUGUGUUCUGAUUUUACUUUUUCUUUCUUUUUUCUUUUUUGCAACUCACUUGAACUUUAACUGUGUAAUUGAUCUCCCCUGUAGCAUAUGGCCAUUUGUAUAUAUGCUAAGAUUUUUUAUUUUUGUUAUUUAGCCUGGCUUCCUAGGGGUCAUCCCAGUGUCUACAUAGCUUAGUGGUCAUCCAGUGAUUUGGAAUAGGCUAUAUUCAAAUUCCAUGCGCCCAUAAUUCUUCCUCCCUCUGCUGACUGGUCUUUGGGUGUGGGCACAAAGUUGUCAGUUUUCAAGUCUUCUGUGACUUUCACUUUAAACUCAAACUUUCUUGGUCUUGCCCCACACACAUGUAUAGCUUCCUAGUCAGCCAGGUGUUCAUGAAGAGCUUCUCUCAUCUCUUCUAUGGCCCUCUUAUUCCUAAGAGCUCUCCACUAAGUUUAUGCCUGGUUUACCAUUUGCCCCAACCAGUACCACAAAUUUAGGCUAGUAGACUUGUCAGUCACCCAUUUAUUUUCUACUGACAAUGCUGCCUGUUGUAGGUUUUUGUCCUAUGCCUGAAAUUGAGCCCACCUGGUCUGGCAUCAAAGUUAUAGGUUUCCUGGCCAGCUGCACAAUAGCAAUGCUGUCAUUAUUAUUGACCAAGCUGGGAUGGGUGGUGAAUAUUGGCUCCAGACAAGAUUACAGACGCUAUUGUUUGUAGCUGAAGGACUACCAGUUUUUCAUAAAUAUGUAUUUCUCAAAUUGUUCUUUGCAUUUAGUCAAUUUUUAGAGUUCCAAGAUGGUUGUUUUUGACAAUUGUGUCCAGUUUUAUCCUUUUCUUGUGGAGGUAAGAAGAUUUGUUGGUCUCUCCACUCCUCUGUAGCUGUAAGGCUUCCUCCCUAUUUUUCCCUUUUUUGUUUGUUUUAGUAGAAAAUUAUGCUUAUAGAUCAUCAUCUGGUUGCUAGGGAGAAGUCAUUGCUACCAGUUUUGGUGCUUUUUAAAUGUAUAUGAUAAAAUACAUCGCAAAUUCACCUGAUAAAAAACUUCAGAUUUAAAUUUAGGAUUACAAGGUUUUUUUUAAAUGUAAUCUCUUUGAUCUUACAUAUGUAUCUUUUUUUCUUAUAUGCCAAAACUCCUGGUUCUUAAUAAUAUCAAUGUAAUUAUUAAUUUUGUCUAACAAUAUACAUGCAUCAGCCUCAGAAUAAUAGCGUCAACAUUACCACAAAUAUAGUUACUUAAAAUGAUUUGAUGGUUUUUGUGGGGGUGUGUGUGUGUUUUUACACUGCACUGUAUGUUUUAUAAUAUAAUGGUGAUGAUCUCUUCUGCUGUAAUAUAUUUAUAUAUUUUCCACAGGUACGAGAGUAUGUCUGCUUGUCCUGGGGAAAAAAAAAUCUGUACAUUCUCUCUUGCCAAAUCCGUAAACAUGCUGUGCUUUAUAUCCAUGAUCAAUGAUACAACACAUUUCAAUGAAAUUCAAAGCUAUUUCACUGUCCAGUUCUGCUGCAUGUUUUUAUUACACCAUAAUUCUGCUCACAACCUGAUUCAUUUUACAUUCCAACUUUAUCUCAGAUGUACUAACGUGCUUUUAAAAUAAGGAAUAUUAAAGAUUUUCAAAAAUAGUUGUAAAAUUGAGUAUUUUCUGCCAUUUCACAGCUCCUUCCCAUUUAUGAGAGAGCCACAUGACAUCAGCCCAUAGACUGUGGAGAGUAUUCCAGAUCUAUCACAUUCUGCGAUUCUGCGAUUCCCAGAAGGCUGGUCAUGAAAAAAUUCCCUCUUCAGUUUACAUAUAUGGCAGUGUGUCAAGGUGUCAGCUUUGAAGGCCACUCUUGUGUGGAGACGGUGCUACCAACUGACUGGAGACAGGAUGUGCCCUUUGGAUAGGGGACCGCAUAACUCAACAUCCAAACUGGGACACUGUUAUUAUUUAAGCAGGACAACAGGAAUAAGAUGAGACUGCUUAUUCAAACUGGGAUUUACAGUCACUUUACUUAGGGCCAGGUCCACAUCCUGCCUUGCUUGCUUGUUAAGGAAUCUUGUCACAAAUUAUUUAGUUUCUCUGAACCACAGUUUCCUCAGUUGUAAAUUGGGCACAAUAAUGCCAACUUGUAAGAAUUAGAGAG
rnacentral:lncRNA from 1 species